GUGGGCUCGGGUCUACACUCAUCACCCUGUGACAUACCUAAACGUUGCUUCGGCGGGAACAGACGGCCCCGUAACACGGGCCGCCCCCGCCAGAGGACCCCCUAACUCUGUUUCUAUAAAUGUUUUUUCUGAGUAAACAAGCAAAUAAAUUAAAACUUUCAACAACGGAUCUCUUGGCUCUGGCAUCGAUGAAGAACGCAGCGAAAUGCGAUAAGUAAUGUGAAUUGCAGAAUUCAGUGAAUCAUCGAAUCUUUGAACGCACAUUGCGCCCGCCAGUAUUCUGGCGGGCAUGCCUGUUCGAGCGUCAUUACAACCCUCAGGCCCCCGGGCCUGGCGUUGGGGAUCGGCGGAGCCCCCCGUGGGCACACGCCGUCCCCCAAAUACAGUGGCGGUCCCGCCGCAGCUUCCAUUGCGUAGUAGCUAACACCUCGCAACUGGAGAGCGGCGCGGCCACGCCGUAAAACACCCAACUUCUGAAUGUUGACCUCGAAUCAGGUAGGAAUACCCGCUGAACUUAAGCAUAUCAUAGUCCGGAGGGAA
rnacentral:rRNA from 1 species